rnacentral:lncRNA from 1 species
AUGUUACCUGUCUAUUGCAGGUUGACAUGUAACAUAGUCUCACAUUAUUGUAACACAACCUUGCAUUAUUGUUCUUUCUUGUAUGGUCAAAGGGAAAGGAAUACCAUGGUGGAACUGCAAGAUGGCAUUAAAGUUCCUGCUUGGCAGUGCCACAAGUCACUUGGGCUUAUUUUGGACUGGCCAAAGCAAGUCAUGAGAAGCAAAAGUAAUGAAUCAUCCAGCUAUCUAUGAAGGCAGAGUAUGACAGAUGUGACAGUCCACAGAAGAUUCUGUCAGAACAUCCUAUUCUCUGCCCAGGACUUGCUGAACAAGCAGAGCUAGCCGGCUACUAUCCUAAUCUGCUGUCUAAUAUGUUUGUGCAGUUCUAUUACCAGUUGGCUUGUAUAUUUAGCACAGUGUAUUCCCAAACCAUUUGUGUCAAUUAUUAUUAUAAUUACAUAAUUUAAUUGAUAAUCUGUGAGUUGAUGUAGUAUGAGUGUGAAAAGAGAAUUGUUUUCAUGAUAACUAAUUAGAAUGCUCUGGAAAGGCUUGAUAAAGGUGAAUUACUAAAAAUACUGUGUGCCGUCAAAUUAAGUGUGAGCAAGUCAAAUAUAAACCCUUGAAGGGAACAUUAUUAGAAUGUAGAUAUUUGCUUUUCAGUAACAUUUAAAAAAUUUGUGCCCUACUUAAAAGAUACUAUGCAGGAAUUGUAUAUAGUGGGUUAUAUAUAUAGUUAAAGAAAGAAAAUGGAGAAUUGCAACAAGCAAAUUCACACAUUUUUAAAUAAAAUACCUUGUCUUGAUAAAAAAUAUUGGAUAAUGGGUGUGACUUAUUUUUCACAUAAAAUAAAAUAUAAAAAAAAUAUAUAACAUUUUAAAUAUUUUAAAAUUAUAUACUUAUUUAUAUAUGUGUGUGUGUAUGUGUGUAUGUAUAUAUAUAUAUAUGACAUUUAAAUAUUUUAUUUCCUGCUUUUUUAACUAUCUGACCAAGCACUGUUGUGGAUAACAUAAGA